UGAAAGGUGACCCUUCUGAAUCCAGUGUCAGCAGACUAGCAUGGCUGUCCAGAUCACAGAGGCAAGGUACACAGAAGCUUUCUGUGAGGGGAGACACCUAGAAUCAAGUUCUAUACCAACGGGUUCUGUGACCUGGGCCCAUCCCCGAAGCUGAGAACUCUUGGUCUCCUUAUAUUCAAAUGGAGGCGCUACAUCUAGAUAGGCUGAAAAAGUCUCUCUUACUCUAACCUUUAAUUAUCUACUCUUUCCCAUGCUUGUUAUUUCUUAACUUUGCACUUUCAAAA
rnacentral:lncRNA from 1 species